GACUGCCCGAGGGGUCAGGCGAACCUGCGGACACCUUCCAGAAUAUUAAUUGUGGGAAGGUGCACAUUGAAUUGUGUCGCCUCCAUCUUCAUGGUUAAAGAGUAAGUCGAAAAAGACACCAGAAUGAAGCAGGCACCGAACAGAAUUCUGCUCGCUGCCCUAUGCUGAAGAAGACAUGUUCUUUCCAAACGUAGGUUGAAAUUCAACUGACUUCACGGAGGUACAUCCCAGAACCACCGCUGUGAGAUCUUCAAAUUUCUACAAGAUCCUGACCAAUUCGCUCUUCACUAUUAUCCAGCCAUUAGACACUUAUAACGUCGUUAAACAUAUAAAGGUAAAAUUAAC